AAAUAACGGGGAACCAGAAGAGAUCAUGGGGCAAGUGAAAAGAACCACCAUCAACCACACCAAAGGCCAGUCUUCAUCCAAAGAAGGUGAUGUUGUGUAUAUGGUGGAAUUGGAAGAGAGUCCUCUAUUAUGAGCUCCUUCCAGAAAACCAAACGAUUGAUUCCAACAAGUACGGCUCCCAAUUAGACCAAUUGAAAGCAGCACUCAAUGAAAAGUAUCUGGAAUUGGCCAACAAAAAAUACAUAAUCUUCCAUCAGGAUAAUGCAACUACAUGUUUAUCUGAUGACCAGUCAAAAACUGUUUGCAGCUUGGCUGAGAAAUUCUGAUUCAUCGACCAUAUUCACCUGACAUUGCACCUUCAGAUUUCCAUUUAUUUUGGUCUUUACAAAAUUCUCUUAAUGGAAAAAACUUAAAUUCCCUGGAAGACUGCAAAAGGCAUCUGGAGCAGUUCUUUGGUCAAAAGGAUAAAAACUUUUAGGAAGAUGGAAUUAUGAUUUUGCCUGAAAGAUAGCAGAAGGUCAUGGAACAAAACAGUGAAUACAUUAUUCAAUAAAGUUAUUGGUAAAAAUAAAAAAUGUGUGUUUU